UAUGUGCUUGCACAUUCUGGACGUCGACCGGCGCACGGGUGAGUAUCGCGUAUCCAACCUGCCCCUUACUUGGGGAUACCCCGUUGAAAGACGGCCUAAUACCCGAUGUGUUUCAUUGACGGCAUCCGAUAUGAAACAAAGGUUUUCCGGUAAGGGAUGGGGAUGCGUCUGAUUAGCUUGUUGGCGGGGCAACGGCCCACCAAGGCGACGAUCAGUAGGGGUUCUGAGAGGAAGGUCCCCCACAUUGGAACUGAGACACGGUCCAAACUCCUACGGGAGGCAGCAGUGAGGAAUAUUGGUCAAUGGACGCAAGUCUGGACCAGCCAAGUAGCGUGCAGGAUGACGGCCCUAUGGGUUGUAAACUGCUUUUAUGUGGGAAUAAAGUGGCGCACGUGUGCGCCAUUGCAUGUACCUCAUGAAUAAGGACCGGCUAAUUCCGUGCCAGCAGCCGCGGUAAUACGGAAGGUCCGGGCGUUAUCCGGAUUUAUUGGGUUUAAAGGGAGUGUAGGCGGUCUGUUAAGCGUGUUGUGAAAUUUAGGUGCUCAACGUUUAACUUGCAGCGCGAACUGUCAGACUUGAGUACACGCAGCGCAGGCGGAAUUCAUGGUGUAGCGGUGAAAUGCUUAGAUAUCAUGAGGAACUCCGAUCGCGAAGGCAGCCUGCGGGAGUGUUACUGACGCUUAAGCUCGAAGGUGCGGGUAUCGAACAGGAUUAGAUACCCUGGUAGUCCGCACUGUAAACGAUGGAUGCCCGCCGUUGGCGCCCCUGCGCCUGCGGCCAA
rnacentral:rRNA from 1 species